UACGUAGGGUGCGAGCGUUAAUCGGAAUACUGGGCGUAAAGCGUGCGCAGGCGGUUUUGUAAGUCUGUCGUGAAAUCCCCCGGGCUCAACCUGGGAAUUGCGAUGGAGACUGCAAGGCUAGAAUCUGGCAGAGGGGGGUAGAAUUCCACGUGUAGCAGUGAAAUGCGUAGAGAUGUGGAGGAACACCGAUGGCGAAGGCAGCCCCCCUGGGUCAAGAUUGACGCUCAUGCACGAAAGCGUGGGGGAGCAAACGAGGAUUAGA
rnacentral:rRNA from 1 species